CUCUGCUGGGUAUUUUUAGUGGGCAGCAAAGGGCAGCGCCCUGGGCGGGAGCAGGGGGAGCCUUGGAGCAGCUCCACGCAUGGGAAAGGGUGGAAUGUCCCCGAGGAGAGCCUGGCUGCGCUGGUGUCACCGCCAAGGUGACCUGGGGACAGCCCUUCAGAGGCGGGGUGUUUACAAGGCUUGAAGUGCCCCUGCCCCGGGCUCAGGAGAUUCUGGAAGGACAAGCCUCUUAAAUCAAACCUAACCCGGCUGCCGAGGGAAAUCCAGAGCUGCUCGGGGCAAGAGUUAAAAGGUGUUCUGCUGUCUCAUCAGAGAUCCCUCACCCUGUGAGGAGCCGCCUCCCAAUAUCCAGCCUCUUAAAUCCAGCCUAACCCGGCUGCCGAGGGAAAUCCGGAGCUGCUCGGGGCGAGAGUUGAAAUGCGUGAAGCGCCGAGAUCCAGGCCAGAUGUGGAACUCUCCGGGGCCACCGCGGGGCUUUGAGCCGCUCGUUUGACACCUCUGCUCUCGACAUUAAAAGUCCCAGCGGGGAGGAAAUCCUCCCGGCCCGAGUUCUGGGCUGUUUACCGAGGGGGGCAGCCCAAUAAAACCUGGAAUAAGAGUAAAUUAUUA